UCCCACCACCGCGGAAAAAUAAGCCACUGAAGGGUCUGACACAGCGACACAGAAAAAGACAGAAAGACAUGGAAACUUCAGUUCCACAGGCCAGAACAACUCAGCCUCCUCCCACCCUAUCAGAUUUCUUCCCUCCACCUCCAGUGGAGCCCAUUGUGGUUGAACUGCCCAUUUCUCCACCAGUGAAGCACGCCAUGUUGGAGCUGCCCAUGUGUCCAGUGGUAGCUGAGACUCUUCAUGGAUUUGAGUUUGUCCCACCACCGCAGAAAAAUGAACUGCUGAAGGGUCUGACACAGCGACAUAAAAAAAGACAAAAAGUCACUUCAGUUCCAAAGGUCAGAACUACUCUACUUCCUCCCUGCCAAUUGGAUUUUUUCCCUCCACCACAGGGAUGUCAGUGGGCACAGAAUUUCCUCAAUUCACCUCCACCACAGGAUUGCCAAACGGCCCAAAAUGGAGUUAACCCAUAUUCAAUGAGAGCAGUAACAGGUGCUCCAAUGGGCAAAUACCCAGGUUAUCCAUGUACAACUACCAAAGCUGGGUCUGGAAUAUCAGACGCUUCCCUGGUUCACAUGCUCAGACCCCUCUCACCGAUGCGCGUGCCAGAAGAUGAUGGUGGAUGGGACUCUGCUGGGGAUCACCCUAGGACUCCCUUCUACAUGGGUUGACUCUUCCGCUGGGCCUUUUAAGCCCUUUAAGCUAUUUUGCCGGAAAAAAAAGGACGCAGUGGAGCAUAGCAUAUUUUUUUUAAAUAAAUAAACUCAAGCAUACCCCGAUUGGUUUUAUAUUACAUAAUAAAAUCC